rnacentral:rRNA from 1 species
CCUACGGGUGGCAGCAGUGAGGAAUAUUGGUCAAUGGGCGAGAGCCUGAACCAGCCAAGUCGCGUGAGGGAGUACUGCCCUAUGGGUUGUAAACCUCUUUUGUCGGGGAGCAAAAUCCGGACGUGUCCGGCUGUGAGAGUACCCGAAGAAAAAGCAUCGGCUAACUCCGUGCCAGCAGCCGCGGUAAUACGGAGGAUGCGAGCGUUAUCCGGAUUUAUUGGGUUUAAAGGGUGCGCAGGCGGAUUUUUAAGUCAGCGGUAAAAUCGUGGGGCUCAACCCCAUCCAGCCGUUGAAACUGGGGAUCUAGAGUGUGCGAGAGGUAUGCGGAAUGCGUGGUGUAGCGGUGAAAUGCAUAGAUAUCACGCAGAACCCCGAUUGCGAAGGCAGCAUACCGGUGCACAACUGACGCUCAGGCACGAAAGCGUGGGUAUCGAACAGGAUUAGAUACCCCAGUAGUC